rnacentral:rRNA from 1 species
GAUGAACGCUGGCGGCGUGCCUAAUACAUGCAAGUCGAGCGAACGGACGAGAAGCUUGCUUCUCUGAUGUUAGCGGCGGACGGGUGAGUAACACGUGGAUAACCUACCUAUAAGACUGGGAUAACUUCGGGAAACCGUAGCUAAUACCGGAUAAUAUUUUGAACCGCAUGGUUCAAAAGUGAAAGACGGUCUUGCUGUCACUUAUAGAUGGAUCCGCGCUGCAUUAGCUAGUUGGUAAGGUAACGGCUUACCAAGGCAACGAUGCAUAGCCGACCUGAGAGGGUGAUCGGCCACACUGGAACUGAGACACGGUCCAGACUCCUACGGGACGCCGCAGUAGGGAAUCUUCCGCAAUGGGCGGAAGCAUGACGGAGCAACGCCGCGUGAGUGAUGAAGGUCUUCGGAUCGUAAAACUCUGUUAUUAGGGAAGAACAUAUGUGUAAGUAACUGUGCACAUCUUGACGGUACCUAAUCAGAAAGCCCCGGCUAACUACGUG